AGGGUAGCUCUGGCUGGGGAGCCAGGGCGGAGCUCGAGAACACGGGGCCAGGCUCCCACUCCCCUCUCCCUGAGGACCCCGAGCCUGACCCUUUUUGCCAGGGGACACCAGGGACAGGGAUGUUCCAGAGAGAAGCCGCCAUGACAUCCCCCUGCCCUGGUCCCCCCCCGCACUCAGCAUCUUGCCUCUGACUGCCCGGCCCCCGCUGCAUCACCUAACUGCCAUAAAUGUGCAUGACCUGUGCUACGAAGUCCCAGCGUUCCCAGGACCCUGCAUAGCACCUGGCACGUUGGAGGGGCACAGGAAACAGCCCAACCACGCUUGACCUGAGCCAAGAGGAACCAGUUCCUGGGAAGGUGGAGGUGGAGAGAAGAAGGUCACUGUUGACGUCAGGGACAUUCAGGUAACCGCCAAGCACAAAGAGACCAUUGAGCGGGCUCGGGAAGGACCUCCAGCUGCCCGCUCACCGUACCCUGCACCGUGUCACCGGAGCUUGCCGGGGAAUCAAGCCUAGGACCCGCUCGGUGGUGCGCCCGGAGCGCAGGCCUUACCUGUGGGCGGCCGCUGAGUCCUGGCCUCUGGCUUCUGGCCUGGAGGCGUGCAGAGCCGCUGGGGAGCAGCUUCCUCUGAAACCUGCUCCCCCAACCCAGUCCUUCUGGGAGGAGCUGGCAGGGGCCA